UACGUAGGGGGCUAGCGUUGUCCGGAAUCAUUGGGCGUAAAGAGCGUGUAGGCGGCCCGGUAAGUCCGCUGUGAAAGUCGGGGGCUCAACCCUCGGAUGCCGGUGGAUACUGUCGGGCUAGAGUGCGGAAGAGGCGAGUGGAAUUCCUGGUGUAGCGGUGAAAUGCGCAGAUAUCAGGAGGAACACCAAUUGCGAAGGCAGCUCGCUGGGACGUAACUGACGCUGAGACGCGAAAGCGUGGGGAGCAAACAGG
rnacentral:rRNA from 1 species